GUGCUUGCUUUGGCAGAACAUGCACUAAACUUGGAACAAUACAGAGAAGAUUAAUCAUUAGCAUGGCUCCUGGGCAAGGAUGACAUGCAAAUGUGACUCGUUCCAUAUUUAA